rnacentral:tRNA from 1 species
UCGACUCCGAUAUUCUCCAUUUAUUUUAGAAAGUUCUUUGACAUACAUAAUAUACAAUGAUGAAAAGAUAAAAG